rnacentral:lncRNA from 1 species
CUACAGCAGAAACGCCACAUCAUUCUAUUUGUACAAAUUUGGAAAUGUAGUCAGAAACUGACUUUAGUUCCCUUUUAACUAAAAGAGCUCAUUUCUUCUUCAAAAUAUAUAUUUCCUGUUUAAAAGUUCAAAGAAUGACCUUUCACCAUCAGCUGCACAUAUUCAAACCAAUAGGAGAAGUCUUUUAUAAACUUUGAGACUGAGGCACGGCAAGAAGACCAUGUGUGAAGUAUUGAAGAUGUUGUGGGAGAGCAGCAAAAGCCAGCAAGUUAUCAGAUCCUCUUUACACAUGUCUACUGAAAAAACAGGGUCCCAAGCAUCACUGAGGGUGA